GGGGUGGGGCUGCCUUACCAUGCAGUCGGACGGGCUCUUUCGGGAGCUAGUGGCGGACGGGUGAGUAACGCGUGACAAUCUGCCCUUAGGAGGGGGAUAACGGUUGGAAACGACCGCUAAGACCCCAUAUGCCGAGAGGUGAAAUAGGUUUCUGCCUGAGGAUGAGCUCGCGUCCGAUUAGCUAGUUGGUGGGGUAAGAGCCCACCAAGGCGACGAUCGGUAGCUGGUCUGAGAGGAUGAUCAGCCACACUGGGACUGAGACACGGCCCAGACUCCUACGGGAGGCAGCAGUGGGGAAUUUUCCGCAAUGGGCGAAAGCCUGACGGAGCAAGACCGCGUGAGGGAAGAAGGUCUGUGGAUUGUAAACCUCUUUUGAUUGGGAAGAAGUUCUGACGGUACCAAUCGAAUCAGCCUCGGCUAACUCCGUGCCAGCAGCCGCG
rnacentral:rRNA from 1 species